UUAACUUGCCAACUUGCUCUUUGCACUUUGCACAACCAACAUUGUUCUUUCUGGAUCAUCCCUUGCUUGGAUCUACUCAAACCCCAUCUCAGUAGCAUGCAGGAUAAAUUGAGGGCUCUUCAAACAAGGAGGUUCGAUGUUCCACUCCUGUACAAGGAGUCCUGGUGAGGAACUACAGAGAUGAUCAAAUGUGGGUACUUGGAAAGACUAAGGAGAGAAGUGGGCCACUCUCCUACACAGUGAAGAUUGCAUAUGAUGUUAUCUGGAGAAGUCACAUCAAUCAGUUGAGGAGAGCAGUCAAUUGUUGGAGAAGAAAGGUGUCCAGAGUUGUCAGAACUACUUCCUACAGUCCCAGAGUCAAAUCCUACAACCACCAUGGAGGACACUCCAGAACUUGAGAUAGUUUCACUGCCACAAGUAUAUAUAAAGUAACUGUGAAUUGUGUAACUGCUGUUAAAAGAGCGCUCUUCCUGUUACCCACAAAGAAAAAUAGGAUGCAGGAACAACAGAUGACCAGAGCCUACCAUUCAGCCCAAACAUCCUCUGAUAAAAGAAAUAGCAAAUAAAAAUCAGUGCUGGUAUUAAUGAA